rnacentral:rRNA from 1 species
CAGCAGCCGCGGGAAAACAGAGGGUGCGAGCGUUAAUCGGAUUUACUGGGCGUAAAGCGUGCGUAGGCGGCUUUUUAAGUCGGAUGUGAAAUCCCUGAGCUUAACUUAGGAAUUGCAUUCGAUACUGGGAAGCUAGAGUAUGGGAGAGGAUGGUAGAAUUCCAGGUGUAGCGGUGAAAUGCGUAGAGAUCUGGAGGAAUACCGAUGGCGAAGGCAGCCAUCUGGCCUAAUACUGACGCUGAGGUACGAAAGCAUGGGGAGCAAACAGGAUUAGAGACCCCGGUAGUCCCUGUCUCUUAUAA